GCUCCUACGGGCGGCUGCAGUGGGGAAUAUUGGACAAUGGGCGAAAGCCUGAUCCAGCCAUGCCGCGUGAGUGAUGAAGGCCCUAGGGUUGUAAAGCUCUUUCAGUGGGGAAGAUAAUGACGGUACCCACAGAAGAAGCCCCGGCUAACUUCGUGCCAGCAGCCGCGGUAAUACGAAGGGGGCUAGCGUUGUUCGGAUUUACUGGGCGUAAAGCGCACGUAGGCGGAUUGUUAAGUUAGAGGUGAAAUCCCGGGGCUCAACCCCGGAACUGCCUUUGAUACUGGCAAUCUCGAGUCCGGAAGAGGUGAGUGGAAUUCCGAGUGUAGAGGUGAAAUUCGUAGAUAUUCGGAGGAACACCAGUGGCGAAGGCGGCUCACUGGUCCGGUACUGACGCUGAGGUGCGAAAGCGUGGGGAGCAAACAGGAUUAGAUACCCGAGUAGUCAG
rnacentral:rRNA from 2 species